rnacentral:rRNA from 1 species
UACAGAGGUCUCAAGCGUUGUUCGGAUUCAUUGGGUUUAAAGGUGCGCAGGCGGAUAUGUAAGUCAGUGGUGAAAUCUCCGGGCUUAACCCGGAAACUGCCGUUGAUACUAUAUAUCUUGAAUGCUGUGGAGGUAAGCAGAAUAUGUCAUGUAGCGGUGAAAUGCUUAGAGAUGACAUAGAAUACCUAUUGCGAAGGCAGCUUACUACGAAGAUAUUGACGCUCAUGCACGAAAGCGUGGGGAUCAAACAGG